GUGUCAGCAGCCGCGGUAAUACGUAGGGUGCAAGCGUUAAUCGGAAUUACUGGGCGUAAAGCGUGCGCAGGCGGUUAAGUAAGACAGAUGUGAAAUUCCCGGGCUCAACCUGGGAACUGCAUUUGUGACUGCUUGACUAGAGUGCGGCAGAGGGGAGUGGAAUUCCGCGUGUAGCAGUGAAAUGCGUAGAUAUGCGGAGGAACACCGAUGGCGAAGGCAACUCCCUGGGCCUGCACUGACGCUCAUGCACGAAAGCGUGGGGAGCAAACAGGAUUAGAUACCCUGGUAGUCCACGCCCUAAACGAUGUCGACUAGUUGUUGGACGGGUUACUGUUCAGUAACGUAGCUAACGCGUGAAGUCGACCGCCUGGGGAGUACGGCCGCAAGGUUAAA
rnacentral:rRNA from 1 species